GAUGAACGCUGGCGGCGUGCCUAAUACAUGCAAGUAGAACGCUGAAGGAGUAGCUUGCUCUUCUGGAUGAGUUGCGAACGGGUGAGUAACGCGUAGGUAACCUGCCUGGUAGCUGGGGAUAACUAUUGGAAACGAUAGCUAAUACCGCAUGACAACAGUUAUUGCAUGAUAACUGUUUAAAAGGGGCAACUGCUCCACUACCAGAUGGACCUGCGUUGUAUUAGCUAGUUGGUGAGGUAACGGCUCACCAAGGCGACGAUACAUAGCCGACCUGCGAGGGUGAGCAGCCACACUGGGACUGAGACACGGCACAGACGCAUACGGGAGGGAGCAGUAGGGAAUCGUCGGCAAUCGACGGAAGUCUGACCGAGCAACGCCGCGUGAGUGAAGAAGGUCUUCGGGUCGUAAAGCUCUGUUGUAAGAGAAGAACGAGUGUGAGAGUGGAAAGAUCACACUGUGACGGUAACUUACAAGAAAGGACCGGCUAACUACGUG
rnacentral:rRNA from 1 species